rnacentral:rRNA from 1 species
AGUAGUUGACUCCGUGGCUCGAGGACGAACGCUGGCGGCGUGCUUAACACAUGCAAGUCGAACGGGCACUUCGGUGCUAGUGGCGAACGGGUGAGUAAAGCGCAGGUAAUCUGCCGCAAAGACGGGGACAACGUUCCGAAAGGGGCGCUAAUACCGGAUGUUGUAAGAAUUUCGCAUGGGAUUCUUAUUAAAGAUUUAUCGCUUUGCGAGGAGCCUGCGUCCGAUUAGGUAGUUGGUAGGGUAAGAGCCUACCAAGCCGACGAUCGGUAGCCGGUCUGAGAGGAUGAACGGCCACAAUGGAACUGAGACACGGUCCAUACUCC